UGGGGAAUCUUGCGCAAUGGUCUAACGACUGACGCAGCGACGCCGCGUGUGGGAGGACGCUCUUCGGGGUGUAAACCACUGUUGCCCGGGACGAACACACCAUUUCGAUGGUGCUGACGGUACCGGGUGAGGAAGCACCGGCUAACUCCGUGCCAGCAGCCGCGGUAAUACGGAGGGUGCGAGCGUUGUCCGGAAUCAUUGGGCGUAAAGGGCGCGUAGGUGGCCCGGUCAGUUCGUGGUGAAAGCGCGGGGCUCAACUCCGCGUCGGCCAUGGAUACUGCUGGGCUCGAGCACUGUAGAGGCAGGCGGAAUUCCGGGUGUAGCGGUGGAAUGCGUAGAGAUCCGGAAGAACACCGGUGGCGAAGGCGGCCUGCUGGGCAGUAGCUGACACUGAGGCGCGACAGCGUGGGGAGCAAAC
rnacentral:rRNA from 1 species